GCAUCCCUCCUCAGAUCCCGCCGCCCCUCCGCAUCCUCCGCUACUGCCGCUUCUCCAGAUCCAUGCGCCGCGCCCGCCGUCCCCCUCCACUCCCACGCCCUUGCCGAUUCGCUCGUCACCGCCGCUCCUCGUUGACCAAGGGUGUGGGUGCGGCCGCAUCCUCGUCGGUCCCUCCCUACGAGCGCGUGUUGGGGCUGGGGGCCAUGGUUGCCUACAUGCUCUUGGUGGUGAUGCUGCUGGUGGCCGGACUGCACGCGGAGGUGGGGAGACGGGCGGUGUUCGCCAAGCUCAGCGAUGGCGGCCGCGCCUCGGGUGAGGUCGUGUCCUCACCUCACCCGCCCUCCUCCUCGCCAUCCCCGCCCGGCGCCAAACCAUGGGGGCCUGGCCGGAACAGGAUCCAUCCAUGGCAGGCCUAGGUCCGACAGCCUCCUCGGCUUCGUACUGCAAGGCGGCGCUGCAGGGUGCGGGCCGCUCGAGCCAGGCCGGCGCGUGCGUGCCACUCGCCCGCGCCUGAGCCGCUCGCCUACCUGUUCGUGAGCGCAUGGGCCUGCUCGCCCCUUCCACGCAAGCCUGAGGCCUGUUCGCCUGCUCGGGUGCCGUCCAGGCAAGUGGAUCCCUCUGAUUUUUUUUGUUCCCCAUUCAAUUCAAGCCAUUUUACUUCACUUGCACCUCUACUGGAAGCAAAAUCCCUCACGAUUUCUUCUCAAAUGUGCAGUACACGACUGGGAUCUAUGGUCUUUUCUUGGUCAGAGAAUUGCAGAUCUUUUUCCCCUGACUCUUUCCCUCUCUAAUAUGUCACCCAGUAGGAUUCAUUUGUGCUGCUGUGGUAAAGAAAUGAAGAAAAACCUUUCCUUAAAUCCCUGUAUGCAUGUUCCUUUCGAUUUCAUAGUGUGUAUAUCUGAUUGGUGAUUUUGUUCUCUUUUUACUACGUAUUUUGGAUGCCACUGAUGCCGUGUGAACAAACUGAGCCUAUGUUAUUUUUCAGUUUUCACUUUUGUAGCAUUUUUAUAGAUGGCUUUUGAAGUAAAUAAUUUCUCCACUUCUAUAGAUGCAUUUUGAACAAUCUGAGCAUUUGUUUUGAAUAAUAGAACCUGAAUUUCUAUCUACUGCAUCUGGUCUAUCGCAAAACAUUGCUCCACGAACUAGUAUAUGUUCUCUGGUUAAAUGAUUCCAUUUACCUGAUAGCAGUUAUUUACAGAUAAUUAUAGAUUGUUUUAGACCUUGUGUUUUUAUUGCCACUAUCAAAUGCACAUGCUUUAUCUUCGGUCAGUGAGAUUACUGUCAGAUAGUGUUCUUGAACAUUGAUAUAUUUUGGAUCUAUACUUGUAACAUGAUUACAGCAAGUUUUUUCUGAAACUAUAGGUUUAUUUGUUGGCUGAGGGAUAUAACUAGAGCUUUAUUUCCUUUUUCUCUUAUAAAUGAAUAAAUGAGUUUUAUUUGUGAAUAUGACUAGUGGAGAGUUUAUGUUCAAAAUUCACCUUAGCAGCUAUGUCACUUUGUUUGGACUUAAAUCUGAUGAGAUGACUAAACUAAUCUUAAGUAUUUCUUUUCCCUUGUCAGGUUGCAUUACUACCGAGCAAGCUGAGCGUGAAAACCUAUGUGAUCUAUUGUUGGUGUUGCAGGUCUUGUUAGUGCUCUCGAACAUUUGCUCCUUUGCUUCUGGAAUCAAAUUGCUACUUGUAUCAGGUGCUUGGAUUUUUGGUGCUGUAGGUCCUGCUGGUGUGUAUUUUAGGUUGUUGUAUCUCUUUUCAAUGUAAACAUGAGAUUGUAUCUCUUAUUUUGGGCUGCUAAAAUUUUAUAUGUAUUUUAGGCUGUAAUGAUCAUUCUAGUGUAUGGUAUGAGAAAUUGGAUUGAAUUCUGGUGUAUGGUAUGAGAAAUUGGAUUGAAUUGAUGAGCUCAAUUUUUAA